UCCUACGGGAGGCAGCAGUAGGGAAUCUUCGGCAAUGGACGGAAGUCUGACCGAACAACGCCGCGUGAGUGAAGAAGGUUUUCGGAUCGUAAAACUCUGUUGUUAGAGAAGAACAAGGAUGAGAGUAAAACGUUCAUCCCUUGACGGUAUCUAACCAGAAAGCCACGGCUAACUACGUGCCAGCAGCCGCGGUAAUACGUAGGUGGCAAGCGUUGUCCGGAUUUAUUGGGCGUAAAGCGAGCGCAGGCGGUUUCUUAAGUCUGAUGUGAAAGCCCCCGGCUCAACUGGGGAGGGUCAUUGGAAACUGGGAGACUUGAGUGCAGAAGAGGAGAGUGGAAUUCCAUGUGUAGCGGUGAAAUGCGUAGAUAUAUGGAGGAACACCAGUGGCGAAGGCGGCUCUCUGGUCUGUAACUGACGCUGAGGCUCGAAAGCGUGGGGAGCGAACAGGAUUAGAUACCCUGGUAGUCCACGCCGUAAACGAUGAGUGCUAAGUGUUGGAGGGUUUCCGCCCUUCAGUGCUGCAGCAAACGCAUUAAGCACUCCGCCUGGGGAGUACGACCGCAAGGUUGAAACUCAAAUGAAUUGACGGA
rnacentral:rRNA from 1 species